rnacentral:rRNA from 1 species
GGGCCCGCACAAGCAGAGGAGCAUGUGGCUUAAUUCGAUGCAACGCGAAGAACCUUACCCGGGUUUGACAUGCAGCUGCGCGUCCCGUGAAAGCGGGAUUCCUUCGAGGGUGCUGCACAGGUGCUGCAUGGCUGUCGUCAGUUCGUGCCGUGAGGUGUUUGGUUAAGUCCAGCAACGAACGCAACCCCUGUGUCCAGUUGCCAACAGGUAGUGCUGGGGACUCUGGACAGACCGCCCGUUCACGCGGGAGGAAGGUGGGGACGACGUCAAGUCAGUAUGGCCCUUACGCCCGGGGCUGCACACGUGCUACAAUGGCCGGUACAGAGGGAUGCGAGGCCGCGAGGCGGAGCCAACCCCCAAAACCGGCCCCAGUUCGGAUCGGGGUCUGCAACCCGACCCCGUGAAGUCGGAUUUGCUAGUAACGGCGCAUCAGCUACGGCGCCGUGAAUACGUUCCCGGGCCUU